AUUUCCAUGGAAAUAAAUAGGAGGCAUUACUUUUGUAGUGACCUACAUGUAUUGUGUAGUGACCUGCAUUACUUUUGUAGUGACCUAGUAUAAGUUACAUAGGGUCAGAUAUUCUGAGUUGAAUGUAGACCUCCCUCAUGUUGCUUUGAUGACCCUGGGGAGUUGCAUAACUAAAUGCAAAGUUAGGCAUGAUUUGCACUCCAUCCUCAGCUAAGAGAGAUGCUACAUGGACAUGAUGAUUCACUUUGGCUGGAUCAGGCAAGUAUGAGAGGCAAAUGCAGAGUAAUAGCUCCACAUAAAAGGCCCUGUUGACAGAGAGAUGCAGUCCCUGCUGAAUCUUUGGGGAAGCACAAUUAUUUCCAAUAAACAGUCAGGACAGAGUCAUUGAGGGUAGGCAGAGGAGGUAGGAAAAUGCUAUCAGCUAUAGUCAUGUUCAAUUAGUGGCUGUAAAAGUGACAUCUGCUCUGCAUAUUCUACUUAGGAUCAGCACUGAGAGCACAGCUCAUCUAUUAACGCAUCUGACAAGCCACAGUUUAACCCACUUUCUCAGCAUCUUGCCCAGGAGAAUAGGUCAUUCUGCUUACUGCGAUAUUUUUUCAGCACAUUUUUCUACCAGUGCUGAGAAAGUGGUCAUAUUUCAGACAGGAAGGCCCAUUAACUUUUUUCAAACAGAGGCAAUUCUCUGCCUGACACACUAACCACAGCCAGUCAGCUCACUCAUUGCCCAGUGUGAGAUGGCACCUGCUCAUGCUACAGCUAAGUAGCAACUCCUGAUGGGUAGAAAGAAGAGGCUAAUUCGUAAAAAAAAGUGGUUCAACCAAACACAAAGUAGUUUCUGUUCUUUUAGAUAGUCCCUUGCCACAUAAACAGUUAAGAUGACUGCCUUGUACAGGAGUCCUGAAGUUCUCAUCCAGCUGAUAUUACACAUGAGCUGGAAAAAAACUUACUAGAGCAGGCUUUUUUCUGUUUAAAUGAAUAAGAAAUAAAAACAUUGUCUGAGCUGUUUGGAAAACUGUAUUUAGAAGUUCCAGUAGAUGGAAGUGGGAACAUAUGAACUAAAUAGUUAUGUGAUAUGCAGGCAAUUGGAGAAUGGAAACUUGAUGUGUCGUGACAAGAGUAGCAAAAACGUUUUAAGAGAGUGAUCAUUGCUAACUGCCUUGAUGCCUUUGCUUAUAUUUGGUAUCCCUUAGCACUGUUCCAACUAGAUCUUUCCUGUUUUGGAUUGUAUGUUCUACAGAGAGGCAUUUGUGUUUGGAUUUAUUAUUUGGAAAGCACCAUGCCUGGGACAGGGCAGCCAAUAAUGAGCAAAUAACUAAUGUGUUUUGGGAGCCUGUAACAGUAGCUGUACGGAAAAAUGGCAAGACUGCCUGGCUUGCACUGCUGUGAGCCUGUGCUGAGAGCUUCUGUACACAACACGUGGUCACUGGCUAAUGUUACCAGUGGUGACUGUGCAGAAUUGUGCACAGAGAGCUGAACUGCUAGGAGACAAGUAAGCGCCUUACACAAACAGAUCUCAGAGAAGCUUUUCCCCCUGCAGCCAUCAGACUCCUUCCCAGCCCCUCAGGCUGAUAAGACCUGCUUCUCUGACCCCAUUCUCAGGACUUUUUGCAACAGCAGAUCCUCAUGAUGCCAAGCUUGCAGGACAGUGGUCUCCCCGGGGCACCUUUUGUGUCCUGUUUCCUCUUCCUCACAAUCAGGAAACCCUGACCCACCACCCUGCACAUCCUGAAGAAGACCAUUAAGAUGAACACAGAUGGCAGCAGAGGGGCAGUCCGACAGAAUGGUGUCUGACAUGGAAGUGCCGGUGAAGAAAGGGUGUGGAACUGAAUUCCUCCAUGUGGAAAAAAUGGCACUCAUGACAUUCAUCGACUCUUGUGAACUGUUAUGGAGACCAAACAGCAGAUGUGAGGUGAUGGGCAGUAAGUUUCGGUAGUGGUGACAGCAGCAGUGGUUCACCUCUGCUGGUGUAAAUUUUAAUGUGUGCGGCAUGCAGGCUCUUGUUCAUCCUUGGAAAAAAUGUAUAGCUAAUGGUGGUGACUAUGUUGAAAAAUAUUGUUUUGUAGUUGAGAAUACUCUAUCAAAUAGUGCUACUGUGCUCUUUGUAUCUGUUGUGGUUUCCAUGGAAAUAAAUAGGAGGCAUCUCUUUCAGAGCAACCUACAUGCAUGCCUUUGCAAAUAUGGAUUCAAGUUAUUAAAUACUGUCUCAGAAUUUACUGAAAAAAAUUAUGAGAAUUUUUCCUAAGAAAGUAUAGCACUGUUAGCCUUGGUAUUAAUUAGGCUCAAAUCAGGAAAAGAUGGUUCUAUACAGUCCUUUCGAAAAUGAAUAUCUAAUCAUGCUCUGUGAGUGCUUAGUCUCAUAUGCUCUCAUAAUACAACAAGACAAACAUAUAUUAUUCAUCUUUCCAGAAUCUCAGCUGGUUUUGCUUUAAAUAAAGGACAGUAGAUGGAUGUCUAAGUCAACUGAGAAUUUAAUGUCAGAAUUUGUUUAGUUGGGCUCAAGCUCUUGACAAGAUCUAAAUAUAAACACAAUUAAAAGAGAAAUCUCUGAGA